rnacentral:rRNA from 1 species
GUAGGGAAUAUUGGGCAAUGGUCGGAAGACUGACCCAGCCAUGCCGCGUGCAGGAAGACGGCCCUCUGGGUUGUAAACUGCUUUUAUCUGGGAAGAAAAAGGCCAUGCGUGGCAAAUUGCCGGUACCAGAUGAAUAAGCACCGGCUAACUCCGUGCCAGCAGCCGCGGUAAUACGGAGGGUGCGAGCGUUGUCCGGAUUUAUUGGGUUUAAAGGGUGCGUAGGCGGCUGAUUAAGUCAGCGGUGAAAGACUUCGGCUUAACCGGAGCAGUGCCGUUGAUACUGGUUGGCUUGAGUGUCGGAGGGGUACAUGGAAUUGAUGGUGUAGCGGUGAAAUGCAUAGAUACCAUCAGGAACACCGAUAGCGAAGGCACUGUACUGGCCGACAACUGACGCUGAUGCACGAAAGUGUGGGGAUCGAACAGGAUUAGAAACCCCUGUAGUCC